rnacentral:rRNA from 1 species
CUUCUUAAGAUUGAUCUUGCUAAAGCUUUCGACCGUGUUGAAUGGAACUUCAUUGUCUCUGCUCUCUCGCGUAAAGGGUUCCAUGUGCAUUUCAUCAAUUUAAUAUAUGCUUGCAUCUCUACUCCGGUUUUCUCCGUCAUUAUUAAUGGCCAAGCUUCUCAUAGAUUCAGAAGUGAAAGGGGUAUUAGACAGGGUUGCCCUCUCUCUCCUUAUCUCUUUGUUCUAGCAGUUAAUGAACUUUCGCUUGCCCUUAAUGAUGCUUUGGCUGCUAACAAUCUUGAGGGUAUCACCCUUGGGCCAAAUUGCCCUCCUGUCCACUCACUACUUUUUGCAGAUGACCUUCUUGUGUGCGAAAAAGCAAGUAUGGGGGAAGCUCAAGCCAUGGCUAAUUCUUCACCAAUUUUGUGCUGCCUCGGGUCAGACUCCUAA